CACCAACUAGCCACUAGAUGGCUUCUGUUUGAAACUGGUUCCUCCCUAUAUGUGAUGGGGGAAGGGAAAGUUUAAUGAAGGCCGCUGAUUUUCAGCACCUGUCCCAAGCUUCUCACAACGUGUGUGUAUGGAGAUGUGAACGGGUACUGUUUCCUGGGAGACUGCUGGGGAUGUUUUUCAUUGAGAGGACAACAGCAGAGUGGAAGUGUGUGGCAAUCGCUGUUCCUCUGGUGUUCCUUUUCAUGUUUCUUUUGUUUGAUUUUAUUUCCAAGUGUUUAAUCCUUUUUGCUAGCCAGUGCCCAUGAUAAUGCUGAUUAGUUGAUCAGCCUGUGUUCACUUAGCACUCUGGCCUGUGGCGGUGCUGGUUAGCAGCUUUGUAUAUUUAUUUGUUUGUUUGUUUUGUUUGUCAAAACCUUCCCGAUUGUUUGCCAGGCUAACCCAGCGCUGGAUUUAUGCAUGUUGGGAGGAAGAGCAGGGCUAAUGUUUGCAGUGCCACAUAGUGUGAAAAUUUGAACUUGGUUCUUUGUCUGCACCUGAUUAUUUGUGUGGGGUGUUUCUGACCGACGGUGUGUUUAACCCCUUGCUCUGCCUCAGAAGAGUAAAAUAAUUGUUUUAAGUUUGGGGUUAGUCCUUAACUGUGGGGAAGUUUUAUUGUGCUCAAACAUUCCAUAAUGAAAUCAAUGCAAUAAAUUAUGUUUUGAUACUUCCUAACUUUUCCUUGCUCUGCAUGGUUAAUUCUUAGUAUACGUGUGACCAGAUUACAGAUGGUAUGUUCUUCACACUCCAUGCUCCCCUGUCAUAGCAUUUUCUGGUUGUUCGUGUCUCUUGUCCUAGUUCGCUUUCCAUAGUCAUUACUUCACCUGUCUCUCACUUCCUGUUUCCCUGCACCCGUACGUGUUAUUCAUUUCAGUUAAUUUGUCUAUCUGUUUACCUGUCUGUUUCCUAGUUUCCUUGCCAGAUUAUGUGUCUUGACUGUACUUUCCAGUGUUUUUCUGCCUGCCUGCUCUGUGUUCCAACUCCAUAUGUGUGCCUUCUGGUUUUGGAUUUGCUUUCUUGGCCAAUCUUUGCUUGGCCUUUUGGAUUUUGAUUCUGGGAUUAUGUUGUACCGUUGGCUGUUUGGACUGCCUUCCGUUGUUUGGAUUUUUGCUCGUUAUUUCGACUACAAACUUGAUUUUCUCUGUUGCACGUGUUUGCCUGCAUUCGACCCCAUGCCUGCCUGAUCUGCCUGUCAUUUAAUAAAGACAUCUUUUCUGCCUA